UAAUACGGAGGGUGCAAGCAUUGAUCGGAAUUACUGGGCGUAAAGGGCGCGUAGGCGGCUGAGAAAGUCAGAUGUGAAAUUCCGGGGCUCAACCCCGGAGCUGCAUUUGAAACUUCUCAGCUAGAGGAUGGUUAGGGAAAACGGAAUUCCACGUGUAGCGGUGAAAUGCGUAGAUAUGUGGAAGAACACCGGUGGUGAAGACGGUUUUCUGGGCCAAACCUGACGCUGAGGCGCGAAAGCUAGGGGAGCAAACAGG
rnacentral:rRNA from 1 species